CCUGCAUCUAUCCUGUCCAGUCCCAUCAGGAUUUUAUAUAUUUCUAUGGGAUCCUACCUCAUUCUUCUAAAGUCUGAGAGUACAAGCCCAGCUGAUCCAGUUUUUCCUCAUAUGUCAGUCCUGCCAUCCCAGGAAUCAGUCUGGUGAACUCUCGCUGGACUGCCUCGACAGCAAGAAUAAAGAUAGAAAAUAGAACAUAGAACAUUACAACACA